GUCAGACUCCUCGGGGACCGAUUUGGAGUUUGUGCCCGGCAGUCAAGGCAGUGAAGGUGGUGGGGAAACUGAAGGAAGAGCUUUAGGCAAGGCGGUAGCUAGGCAGGAUGUCCUGGAACUCAUCAGUCCUCCUCUUCUAAGUGCUGGGAUCACAGUGUUCACUGAGAAGAGACAGGAUUAAAUACUGAUUGAACUGGAAUUGCAGCUACAGACAGACACCGGGCUUUGAGCUACACAAAGAAGCUCGCCCAAGGUCACAGAUCAUAACUACCCGAUCCUGACUUGAACCCCAAGCUCACCAAGUCUUUAGAGUCAUCCUUCUGAAUGUUCAACCUCUUCAGAGACUGGUAAGAUAGAUCCACGAUGGAUAAAGGAAUUUGCUACCAAACCUGUUUACCUAAAUUCAAUUCCCAGGACCCACAUGGUAGAAGGAGAGACCUGAUCCCCACAGUUGUUCUCUGACCUC